GACGAACGCUGGCGGCGUGCCUAAUACAUGCAAGUAGAACGCACAGUUUAUACCGUAGCUUGCUACACCAUAGACUGUGAGUUGCGAACGGGUGAGUAACGCGUAGGUAACCUGCCUGGUAGCGGGGGAUAACUAUUGGAAACGAUAGCUAAUACCGCAUAAUAUUGAUUAUUGCAUGAUAAUUGAUUGAAAGAUGCUAUUGCAUCACUACCAGAUGGACCUGCGUUGUAUUAGCUAGUAGGUGAGGUAACGGCUCACCUAGGCGACGAUACAUAGCCGACCUGAGAGGGUGAUCGGCCACACUGGGACUGAGACACGGCCCAGACUCCUACGGGAGGCAGCAGUAGGGAAUCUUCGGCAAUGGACGAAAGUCUGACCGAGCAACGCCGCGUGAGUGAAGUAGGUUUUCGGAUCGUAAAGCUCUGUUGUAAGAGAAGAACGGGUGUGAGAGUGGAAAGUUCACACUGUGACGGUAUCUUACCAGAAAGGGACGGCUAACUACGUG
rnacentral:rRNA from 1 species